rnacentral:rRNA from 1 species
UACGUAGGGUGCAAGCGUUUGUCCGGAAUUAUUGGGCGUAAAGAGCUCGUAGGCGGUCUGUCGCGUCUGCUGUGAAAACUCAGGGCUUAACCCUGAGCUUGCAGUGGGUACGGGCAGACUAGAGUGCGGUAGGGGAGACUGGAAUUCCUGGUGUAGCGGUGAAAUGCGUAGAGAUCAUGAGGAAGACCAGUGGCGAAGGCGGGGUCUCUGGACAGUUCCUGACACUGAGAACACGAAGGCCCAGGGGGAGCAAACGGGG